AUGGUUUUGUGUCAGCCAUGCUGUUGUGGUCAUGCAAAAGUAAUUUCUACCUCCUAUGCCUGGCCUUUGUGGCCUCACCAACUUUCACAGACCCCAUUUACUUCUACCCAGAAUGCUUUCCCAUACUACUUCUUUGUCAGAACAUGUCCUACUUGGAGCUCAACCUUUCCUCACCAAGAGACUUCCUUAACUAACAAUUCUUUCAUUGAAAGUUUAUCCAUUUACAACUGGGAGCCACUAUCUGGCAAUGGGCCCUUCCCACAUUCAAAGAGGCAAUUAGGGUCAUUCACUCUAAAUUGGGUCAAGUAAAACAUCUUCUCUGUAAUAGAUAAUUCAUCCAGUCAGUUUUAUUUGCCUCUGACUCAUUAAAGCAGACUUUUCGAAGCACAAAUCUCUUACCAAUAAUUUCUAGUGAAUCAGUGUUUUGUUUGCUUUUAACUCAAGUUGGAGGGGCUAAUCUUUCUUUUCUUUAUUACCCUUUUAUGGUUUUAUUCUAUUCUUCCUCAGAGGUAUGAGAAAUAUUUCUUCCCUGGUUGGUUUUGAAGAAAACCACCGGAGACAAGAAGAAAGCCACAGAAAUCAGGGUGGUAAAAAGCAAGAUUACAGUUAGAAGUGAUGUCAACAUCACGGAGACAUAAGGUGUCCCUCAUUUUUUUGACCCCAUCCCCAAUAACAAAAAUUCAACAUCCAUCCCCAGAAACAAAAGUGCCUUUGGGGAUGCUGUGGGCUCCAAUGCCAGACCCAUGGGACUCAGAAAGGGUCUCGCCUAUCCGUGUAUCAGACAAUGAGUGGACAGACCUGGGUCCUAUCUGUAGACUCUGUAGUGGCAAUGAACUUGCUCUAGUCUCUCUCAGCCCACGGUCUGGGAGCCUCUGGAGAACACUGACUUAGACAAUUACUCAUACAUUUGUGGAGGUCCAGAUCUCCAGAGAAGUUCCAGCACUCUUUUGGAGCAAAAAAAAUACAAGUUUGGAUGCAUUAGAGUGGCUAAGAACAGUUUUACUUUACUUAUAUUACCCAUCUGCCAAGGUGGUAUGGCUUAGGGCCAAGAAAGAUCUUCCUCAGCCUGUCAUUUAUCUUGCAGGGGAAAUGAAGAGUGUGUAAGUGAGAUUCCAACUUCCCCAGUAGUGCAGGAAGCUGCACAGGAGCUCAUUUCUCUCUCACUCCAUCUACAGAACUAAAUCAGGAGCCCCUAAAUCAGACCAAGGGCAGAGUCUGGGAGAUGGGAAUCUCAAAGUGACUUCAGCUAUCAUUUAGAGUAAAAAACAGGAAGCUACUGGCAGGUUCUGAGCAUAAGAAUGACAUAACUGCUAAGAAGAAACAAAGAGUAGGCAAGAGAAUAACAGUAGAGGACAGUUAAGAAACUCUUGUGAUAAUCCCCAGACAGUUGGUGACACGGCUUAUAAUGACAGAAAUGGUCAUGUUCUGAAUAUUCUUUGGAGGUAAUGCUAAGAGGUAAUGCUGAAUGAUUACAUAGACGAUUUCAAAAGAGACUCCAAGGCUUUGGGCUGCAGCAAUGAUGCAGUGAUGUAGCAUGUAGCAAUGAUGGAGAUACAUUGAUCCAAGUCAAGAAAACUAUGGAAGCUUUGGGGCAAAGAUCAGGUACUCAGCUUUGGACAUGUUACAUUUAAAAUGAGUAUUAGAUUUUUUUAAGUCAAAAGGUCAAGUAGGUAGUUAGAAAUUCAAGCCUGGAUUUAGGGGAAAUACCUACGAUAUAGUUCUAAAUAGUUUAGUCAUCAGCACGCAGAUUGUUUUUAAACCAUGAGACUUCUGACAACCAUGCAUGCAGAGAGACAGGAAAGUUCACAUGUAAGCUCUAGACUACUUCUGUGGGAAAAAUGAGGAAGAACCAGCCAAAGAAACUGAAAUAAGGGGAAAACCAGAAGAAUACAGCAUCCUGGAGGCUGGGAGUAAAAGGAGCUUCUGGAAGGAGGGAGUGAUCAACAGUACCAAUGUUAUAGAUAUGUUAAUAAGAUGAGUGCUGUGGCCAUUGGUUUUAGAAACCUAGAAACCAUUGAUUGAGUUUGAGUAGAAUGAUGAAGAAAAAACCUAAUUAUUGAGGUGGACUCAAGAGAGAGUGGGAGGAGGGUAAUUGAAGACAUAAAAUACAGAAAACUAAUUCAGAGAGUCUUUCCCUAGGGGAAAAAAAGAGAAAAGAAUCAGUAGUUUGAGAGCAAAGUGGGAGAAGACAGGUUUUUAUAAUCUAACAAAGCAACUGCAUGUGUAUUGGUAUAAGACAUUACACUAAAUUUAUAGAGAAAUUAAAAAUUUCCUUCACAAUAGAAGGUUAAUUUUUAUCUGAUUCUUCUUGAAUAGCUAUGUUUAAAACUGGCAUAUAUUUUGUUAACAAGAAGACAAAGUUGUGGAAUCUUAUAAUUCAACGUGGGGAUACAGAGUCGUGUUAAUAAUUCUAAUUAGAUACAAUCCUCAAUUAAAUAUUUCUUUCAAGGGCAGCCCAGGUGGCUCAGUGGUUUAGCGCUGCCUUCAGCCCAAGGCCUGAUCCUGUAGACCCAGAAUCGAGUCCCACGUCAGGCUCCCUGCAUGGAGCCUGCUUCUCCCUCUGCCUGUGUCUCUGCCUCUCUCUCUCUCUCUCUCUCUCUUUCUCUCUGUCUCUCAUUAAUAAAUAAAUAAAAUCUUUUUUAAAAAUAUUUCCU
ensembl:lncRNA